AUUGAACGCUGGCGGCAUGCCUUACACAUGCAAGUCGAACGGUAACAGGUUAAGCUGACGAGUGGCGAACGGGUGAGUAAUGUAUCGGAACGUGCCCAGUCGUGGGGGAUAACUGCUCGAAAGAGCAGCUAAUACCGCAUACGACCUGAGGGUGAAAGCGGGGGAUCGCAAGACCUCGCGCGAUUGGAGCGGCCGAUAUCAGAUUAGGUAGUUGGUGAGGUAAAGGCUCACCAAGCCGACGAUCUGUAGCUGGUCUGAGAGGACGACCAGCCACACUGGGACUGAGACACGGCCCAGACUCCUACGGGAGGCAGCAGUGGGGAUUUUGGACAAUGGGCGCAAGCCUGAUCCAGCCAUGCCGCGUGCGGGAAGAAGGCCUUCGGGUUGUAAACCGCUUUUGUCAGGGAAGAAAAGGUUCUGGCUAAUACCUGGGACUCAUGACGGUACCUGAAGAAUAAGCACCGGCUAACUACGUG
rnacentral:rRNA from 1 species